AAACCUACGUCUUCAUUCUUACUAGUCAGAUUUGUUUCCACUGAGCCUUGAUGGGAACCCCUCAUUUUUAAUUCUAUAUGGACUGUUUACAAAGGCUGGGUGGUUUAUAAGAUAUUUUGGAACUGUGGCGAAGGGGGAUUAAUAUUUGCCAUCAAUUGUGUGCUCUUAAAUGUUUAACAAUUUGCUCUCCGGGGAGAAGAAAAGGUCUGAUUUGCACUUCUACCAUAACUGAUUUCAAGCUACCAACAAGCUCAAGAACUUCCUGAAAUUUUAACAAUCGGUUCAUGAGCCAGUGGAAGUCAGCUUGGACACAACACAACUUGAUAUGUGACUGGUAUAUAGCCACUGUGUUAGUCUCUUUACAUACAUUACAGCCUUAUUUACUGCUUUCAACAAUCUUUAAGAAGAAAUAAGUGUUCAUCUCCAAAGUAAACUGAGACCCAGAAAGGUUUUUAAACUUGCCCAGGGAGAAACAACUAGGAAAUGUCUUUCUGGUCUUUCCAAAGACUCAUCCUAAUACACUAAGUCUAUCCCUCAUUUUUAAAAGUGAGUCAAAAACAAAUUUUAAUUUGGGUUAAAAGGCACUUCCAAAGGAGUGUCAUCCAUUAUUUAAAAUUGUACUCAUCAGGAACACUAUAGGCCUUGACAUCCAUGGGCAAGUGAGGUGUAAGGCACAGGUUAUUUAGAAUCAGAAAAGGCUAAUUGCAGCUUCACUGGAGACAAAUGGACAGAGACCUGUUCAGUGAUAAGCCCAAAGUCAAGCAGGAAUUUGCAAACAAAUCUUCCCAGCACCACCCAAGCAGUGUAGAAAGUGGCUCUGAGUAAUCUAGAGAUAGUCCCUUUCAGCUUCAAAUUCAGCGAUAGCUCCUGCCAAGACCAACCCCUGCCAGGGAUGGGCAUGGGAUACUCACCACACCAGUUCCACAUGCCCCCAGUUCGUGCAUUCGCACAUGCAAAGUCAGCGCAUUAACACACCUCAACAAACAGCCUUACAGCAAACCGCAGGAAAUUCCAUUUCAGCACAUAUUAUAACAAUGUGCCCCCUACUUGCACUGUCCAUUAAAAACCAAGGCAGGACCUAACCAUACUCUUUGGAAGCACAGAUAAUAUAUCUGGGGACUAAACAUUACUAGAUUCUAUUCAAAUUAAACAGCAACCUCUCUACCCGGAAGCUAAUGAUCACUAUACCUAAAAAUUUAUAAUUAGACAAAUUGUAUGGAAAGAAUCACUUAUGCAAUCAGUGGCAAGUUUCAACUUCUGUUUCCAGCCAGAAUCAAAGAGGUGGGUUGAUCUACCACAGGAUAAUGCAUUCCCUUUGCCCUCCCUGGCACUCACUGUGGAAUACAUUACUCCAUUAUGGAAGCAGCUAUUGUGUGCCUGUUAGGUAAGCAGGAUUUAUAAUUCAGCAACCAAGCUUUGGUAAUUAUCUCUAUACCAGCCAUGGCUCAAACCUCACCACAUAUCAAAGUCCACAAGGUUUCAAUACUACCAAAAAACUAAGAAAGAGAUCAGUCAAGGCUUUGGAAGAUCUACUUUUAACUUAUGGCAAGAACACAGAGCUAUAGUCUCUCAGUAUCUUCGAGAAACGCAUACUAUUAAUGUACAAUAGCCCUCACUGUAUUGUUGAUCUGCUCUAUAGUAAAACCUGAAUGAACUGAAUAAAAUAAAUACAUGCAAUUUUUUUUUAACCCUUUACCCAACAAAGAAUACAAUCAGCAGUAGCCUCAUCCAGAGAUCUUUGGUAAAAAGUAGAAUACUUUGACAUAGAAUAUUGCCAUUAUAUAGGCUUAAUGGUAGACACUUAGGGGAAUAGGGGGGAAAAGACAAGAAGAAAGCAGAGAAGGGCAAAGUUCGGGUACCUCCUAGCCUCUGCUUUCCACAGUCCACAUUAUUGGCAACCACAUCCAUCCACCAAACUGCCAACUACUGUGGAUGGCCCAUAACUAGAACUGCCUUCGUGAGCAUUAGAGCAUUCCAACCCAACCUUACUCAGGCCGUGUUCUCUUCAUUCUCCCUCCACUCCCCUCAUGCUCCACUUUGCAAGUCAGCCAUCUGGAAUCUCACGUCCUUGCAGCCAGACUUUCAGUUAUUAGAAAAUACUAUAAACUAGUUUUAUAAGCUAAUAGGAAAAGAGUAAAGUAGAUGACACCACUCAUCCUCAUGCCUCUUAUAGGUACCUUGGGUCUCCUGGAGGUAAUGGCUACUCUUGUAUUGACCCACCCUAAGAGUGAUCCCAGGGGUGAGCAUUUCAGCCCAGGCUAUAAGAAUAGAUGACACCAUGUUAGGCUUUGCUCUUGGCCACUGGGAUGAAGAUGGCUGAUGUGAGGAGUAGGAAUGGUGAGACCAGCCUUAUCAGUAUGCAUGUUCCUUAACAGUAUGCAGACAGCUGAGCAGAAAUCCAGCCAGUCUUCCCUGGGGAUGUUUCCUUUCUCACUUCUAUGCAGAUUAACCACAACCAACAUUUGAGUCACAAUACCCAACGAAGUAGAUGGCUUGAUGAAAACAACCUUUUAGGAUUCAAGUACCAGAAACACCAGUCUCUCCAGCAACAGCACUUCUCAUAACCAAGAUGUUGUGAGUUGUGCAACCAAUUUCAUAUGGCUGGAAGGUUCUUUUGUUUGGCAGCCAGGUAAAACAAGGGUUGACUCCUUUAAACAAUCUCCCUUCCCCUACAUACUCUUCAUACACAGAAUUCCUUUUGUAGCCACUGAAAAUCCUUUCACAGAACAGAGGGAGAGAACAAUCCGUUUGUUUUUAAAUGAACCUAUGCUCUCCCUCCAACUAUCCAGGCUAGUUCCCUUUUCUUUUUCAGACCUCUUGUCAAAAUUCUCUCAUUCCAGGAAGGCUUUUCCUACAAUGGGUCUCCUCUAAAUCAAAAUGGCUGUGGUCCAAAGGUUGUGCCAAAGAAAAAUUCAGCUAGCUGCCAGCAAUGUCUCCGCAAUGUGAGUGACCUUUCCUUCCUCCGUGUUUUUAUUUCUUAAUUGUCAUGUCUAUCCCAGUGAAGUGACAAACAUCUGAGGUAAGAAUUGCUUUUAUCCUGGUGUUUUUAUAGUGCUUCAGAUGAUGACUCUACUCCAUAAAUUGAAAAUCAUUAUUAUAUACAAAUGCAUAUGCUAAUGCAUGACCUGCAGCUUAAAUGGCAGAAUAAGUAAACAAUUACUGGCAAACACCAUGGUAUGGCAUUUCAAUGAAGUCAUCAGAGAAUCACUAGUAAUUAUCUUUGCAAACUUAAGGUGAGGUGUCCAUGGGCUGAAAGAGAGAGAUGCAUAUUUGUGCCUUAAAAAGAGAAACAGGAAAACUCAAAAAAUUAGAUUCAACGCCUUAACAUUCAGAUCCAAAAAUAAUACUGCAAUCUUAUAAAUAUAUGCAUGCAUGCAUGCACACACACACACAGCCCCCCCGACACACACAGAGUAGCAUGCUAGAUAAAUUCAAGGCAGUUUAAUUAAAAAAAAAACCCUAUCACAUUAGUCAAAUGCAAUUCAUUGGAAACAUGACAAUUCUGGUAAAACCAAGUAAAAGCCAAAGAUAUGAAGUAGUUUUGACUAUUGCACAGUUUUAAGUUUUGUGUUACUUGACAUCAGACAAUUAAAGUAUUAUAUCCUGAAAUCAUCUUCUCAUCAGGUGGAUUCAUAAGUGAUUAGAAGGCUUUUUCAGUAAGUAAUUAUUAAUGGUCCAGUGUCAGCCCAGAGAUGCAUACCUGAUGGGAUUCCUAAGAGGCUGGUCUUAACCUGGUGCUAUUUUUAGUAAUGACUUAGAGGAUGGUAGAGAAUAUGGUUAUUAAGUUCAGGAUAACAUCAAACCGGGUGUGGUACAUUCCGCUUUGGAAAACUAGAUAAAAGUGCAAACGAUCCUGAUGAGUUGGAGACAUGGGUGGACAUAAACAGAUUGAGGUUCUGUAGUAUAAUUCACAUGGGAAGAAUAACAAACCACACAAUUGCAGGACUCAUUUUGUGACAUCAUAAAGAAAAUAAUCUGGAGGUCAGAGUCAACACAAACUAUUAGUCUUUGUGCUUUAACCUUAAAAACAUGAUUGAUUUAGUAAAAGAAAGCCAGGAGUCCUUUCCCUGAUGCCCAGUACUGAUAUAGGCUAUCCUAGAAUAUUCUGUGAUGUCUUUAGCCCCACAUUUUAAAGUAGGAUAUGGAGAAUCCAGGGGCAUUUAAAAGGAAAUCAAAUUUCCUUACAAAUUAGAGAAACAGCCCCUAGACAAAUAACUAAAAUGAUAAAAGUGUUGGCUUAAAAAAAUUUGAGGAAAGGCCUAAACCACUUUCAAGCCUAGAAAGAGGAAGAAAGAUGGAAAGAUAUCAGUUUCAAAGAUAUUAGAAAAAUCUUCCUAGCAAACAAAGCUGUGGAAAAUCAGAGGGUAUUGCAAUGGAAGAUGUCCUUCACUGAAAACUUCAAAGAACAGGCCUUUCCCCGAAUUUGGGGACAGCUUUAUGUACAGACAAAAGACUACACAGGUGAAAAUAGAAAGAAAAGCAAAACCUCUGUAUUUCCUGUUUCUCUGUCACACACCCCCCCCCCUUUUAUUCAAAAGGAAAAUGGCAGGAGGGAAGGAAGGGCAGGAAUUCCACAGUCUUUCUGGACUGUCACUUGUCCAUUUGAGACCAUAUGGUAACUCAAGCCCCAUCUCUCACCCCAGCUUCCCCGAGUUCCAACACUGCAUUGUUCGAAUUCUUGGCUAUGUUGUUUCUUAGCAAGUAUUACUGAGUUUUGAAGAAACUACAAAACCCAUACUCUUUGCUACCUCUGAGUGAGAUGCAGCCUGAUUCCCUAAAAUUACACUUUGCUCAUUUCCUGUCACUGGGUAUUUGUUCAAACCUGGUCUGGAAUGUGUAAUAUGUCCCUUCAUCAGCUUCCUAGGAAACUGCUACCUUUUAAGUCAAUAUCAUCCCACCCUCAUGGAGCUGGUCUAACCUCUCCUUCAACAGUGGUUUCUUCUUCCUAGGAACUCGGAGCCUGCAUGCACUGUCAAUGGCAUUUAUUUGAUACACAGUCACACAGAGCCUUGUGACACCUCAGGUAUUGUUGAAUCACUGUUUAACAUUUACUGUGUGUGUGCAUUACAUUCCUACGUAGACUGUGAGCUCUUUCAAGAUGAGGAUCAUGUGUUAAAAUUUUUGUAUCCUCCUAUAUAUAGCACUCAGUUCGGCAAGUAUUGAGUUCAUAGGAGGGACUGUUAGUAUUUGCUUAAUGAAUGAAGAAAUGUUUAAGGAGAAUGUUUAAAAUAAAUUUGAUCUUUACUUAGAAAAGUUGCUUUCCAAUGUGGAUUCAGGGUAAAAAAGUAACAUUUUAUAAAUUCUUAGUGGGAAAAAUAGAUGUUAAACAUUAUAAAACCCAAUAAAAUAAUGCCUUUAUAUAUAGAAAAUAUUAAAUUAUGGAGUAUUUAAAAUAGUGGAGAUUAUAAAAAUUACACAACUGUUGAUGUUUUUCAUCUGAAUAGAACAAUUCUUAUCAGCACAUGCAAUUAUAAAAGCCAAAAAGAAAUCCUGUGUGUGUGUUUCAUUUGAGAUGAUUUGGUCUAAUAAAGUUUGAACACUUCUCUUUUAUUAUUUUAAGGUUAAUAUUUUAUGUUCAUUCUGCCUGAGCUCACAAAGACUGGUCUUUCUGCCAUGACCGAUAAUAACGUAUCAGAGGUAGUGGCCACAUUUAACGUGUAUUUCCACAUCUUAGAGAUAAAUAUCCUAUGAUAGUUCCUAAUCUGAGUUGCAUUUGAACUCAUGACCUGGAACUGAAGCAUACCAUAUCCAUAGCACCAUUUCAAAAAUUUCACCAUGAAGCAUUGUUUGAGAAUGAGCAGAUACAGCUGUUGUAAGCGCCUUUCAAUUGUUUAUAAUCUCAGUAUUGUAGGUGGUGAGAUGUUCUGAUACCAAAGAAUUGUCAUGACCUGCACUAGUUGGGGAAGCUGCUGGACAUCCAGGAUGAGAGAAACUACAGACCAUGAGGACAAAAUACAACAAGCCAUCAAUCGCCCUCUAAAUACCCUCCUUCUGAGCCUGGUAUCACCUGUUUUUGCUUUUUUUUUUUUUUUUACUGUUUCUCUAUACCAAGGGUGUCUCGUCCUAGCUAUGGAUUGAAGGUGAGAAGAGGAGGAAGCAGAUGACAUAGGUGUCUUUUCCCAGGAAAAAGGUGUAUGGAUGUGACUCCUAGGCUCUUCAUAUGGGACAUUAAUCGCUCUGCUUUUCACCUUAACUUCAAGCACUCUUUCUGAAAUUUCAAUGACUCGAGUGCUCAGGAUUUAGGAAGGCUGGCUGAAAUUAACCCAAUAAGAGAUACAAAAUAGUUAUGAGGUAAGGGGAAAUUUCACUUUGUUAUCUAAUUCAGUCACACAUGAACUCAGAAAUUUCCCCCAAAUUCCUAAGAUAUUUCAUGGGGAAUUGAUACUCUUCAAAAAAUUUGAUCCUAGACAUCCCCUCAAAAUGUUUUAAAGCCAUAAUGCUAGUUAGAGAAUUAUAGGUCCAGAAGUUAUUACCAAAAAUAGUGCAAAAGAAAUAAAAAUCAGUUACAUUUCAAAUAAAACCAUAAUUUGGUAUUUAGUAUCAGAUUUCAACAAACAGUAACACUUAUUAAACGUAAAAACAAUUUCUAUCUCAGAAACGUAUGUUAAAUAAAUAGUAAAGGGGGAUGCUACAAAAGAUUUAAUGGAUUUGCCACCUAAAAACUACGGCAAUUCCAAAGUUAAUUCAAUUGGCAUUUAUUAAAAUAGUACAGACUGAUUGAAAAACAGAGAUAAAUAAGAUGCAAUCAUUGCCUCAGGAAGCGCCAGCCUACCCUAGCUGCACAAAGCACUGAAGAACCAAACUGGUGUAAUGCAAAGUAGUACAUGCUUAUUGCUGGCAAGUGUCCCAGAAUGAGCUUCUAGUACAAUCUAGGGAGAAUCAAGGGAAGCUUCUCUGAAGAGAUAUGUACAAGAGAAAUGUGAAAGGUGAAGAGGAAUUUUCCAGAUAGAAGUGACAGAGGGACAGUGAUGGCAGAGUCUAUCAAGGAACACAAGACAGUUUGUGAGGUAGUGUGAAGCAUCUAUAUUGGAAGGUGGGGCAGGGAAGAAGACUGAGUAAAGAUAAAACUAGAGGAGUUCCUGUUGUGGCUCAGAGGGUUAAGGACCCAACACUGUCUCUGUGAAGAUGCGAGUUCAAUCCCUGGCCUCACUCAGUGGGUUACAGAUCCGGCAUUGCCACAAGCUGUGGCAUAGGUCACAGAUGCAGCUCAGAUCCAGUGUUGCUGUGGCUGUGGUGUAGGCUGCAGCUGCAGCUCCAAUUCAACCCCUUGCCCAGGAACUUCCAUAUGCCACAGGUAUAGCCAUAAAAAGGAAAAAAUAAAUAAAUAAAACUGGAAAGUAGGUGAAGGCAGAGACACUGAAAGAUUUGGAGUGAUCAGUAGAGUAACAAUACAUCCUACAUUGCCCAGGUAAAUCUGGUUUAUACCUGUGGCCCCAACAUAAUGAUUAACAGUGCCCCUUAUACUUUCCAAAGUGUCCCAAAUUGAUAAGUUUUAUGGUCUUUAUAGUGAUUGGAAGCCAUUGGUCCUAGGGAUCCAAAAAUAAAUAAAACCUGACUCCUGCCCUCAAAAAAGUUUAUGAAACUUUUUUCAUAAGAGACAGACAGGGAAGAGCUAACUAUAGCACAAGUCAAAAGAUGAUACACGCUGUAAUAGAAGAAUGAGAAUAUACACCCAGAAGUGAUGACAUUUGAACAAGUGUUGGAGGAUGAGUGGGAAUUGAACAGGAAGGCAAAACCAUUCUAGGCAUGAAUGGUCACAAUGCGUAGGAGAAAGAUGAGCAUGAGGUGCUUGGACAGAUAAGAACCUAAGUGGCUCUGGUUGACAGAUGCAAGGUAAAAAGUUAGCCUUGAAGAUGAAUCAAGAAACUUGUAGCUGAAAAUGUCAAAAGCCCUCAAAGAUUUCCAGAGGACCCACAGGAUCCCAUUUGGCUUUUGAACUGAAAACUAUAGCUUCUCUAGAGUUCCCAUUUUGGCACAGCAGAAACAAAUCCAACUAGUAUCCACGAGGAUGCAGGUUUGAUGCCUGGCCUCGCUCAGUGGGUUAAGAAUCCUAUGUUGCUGUGAGCUGUGACGUAGGCUGGCAGCUGUAGCUCCAAUUCGACUCCUAGCCUGGGAACUUCCGGGUGAGGCACU